UGUAAAUGCGACAGAUUUUCGGAUUUCAAACUGAUUGCACGGACAAAGGGAUUACGUAACAAUGUAAUCCGUAAAAGAUACAAUUGCUAGAUUUUGAAAAUUGAAGCAUCAGCCCAUUAAUCUUUAAUUUGGAAGAGAUUGCAGAGUACGGGGAUAGCCAUGGAAUUGUACGGCAUACAGUGGAAAGAAAAGGCUUCCGGGAUUAUUAAUCCUGCUUUGUGCGGUCGUUAUACGAAAAGCCACAAAGGAUUUCCUUUCGGUGGAAACUUACCGUUUAAAGUAUUAGGUACACACUACAUUUGUUGUUGCAAUACACCGAGGCCUAACAACAAUUUUCUUAAAUAAUCACAUUUUGUAUGAAUGAAUAUGUGAACUAGCAAGAUUACCACUAUCCGAGUAAACGGCGAUCAAAGUCAACAUAACGUACGCCAUCCUACAAGUGUCAAGUUUAUGCCACAAAGUAACCUCUCCGAUAGACGCCACCUAGCUACGUCGGACGUUUGAACGACGUUAUAUCCUACACUACAUGCCAUAGGAUGUUCUCUAACAAGAAUAGAAAUUGAGUGGAUAUCUCACACACAACUUCUCUUAUUUAGAUUCAAAAGUCUAUGUCUCGGAGUACGGGUAGCUUAAUGCAAAAUUUGGUGCUUGUAUCCGGCUAGUAAAUAUAAGCUACAUAUUUGUCAUAUUUGGCAAUAAACAAAUUAUAUUCUUACAACUUGCUUUUUUCAACUAUGAAUUCUACUAAAUUGUAAUGAAAUUAUUUUUGUCUAUUCAGCCACUUUUAGCAGUUGUAAUUUCCUACGGUGAAUGUGGAUGGAUAGUGUUGGAUUCUUAAUCAGUAAAAGGUGAUUAAUUUUUUCUCUAUUUACAUUCCCUAUUUAGUUUAGGGAGAGAGAA